rnacentral:rRNA from 1 species
AUACGGAGGAUCCGAGCGUUAUCCGGAUUUAUUGGGUUUAAAGGGAGCGUAGGUGGGAUAUUAAGUCAGCUGUGAAAGUUUGGGGCUCGACCUUAAAAUUGCAGUUGAUACUGGUUUCCUUGAGUACGGUAUAGGUGGGCGGAAUUCGUGGUGUAGCGGUGAAAUGCUUAGAUAUCACGAAGAACUCCGAUCGCGAAGGCAGCUCACCGGGCCGGAACUGACACUGAUGCUCGAAAGUGCGGGUAUCAAACAGGAUUAGAUACCCUGGUAGUCCGCACAGUAAACGAUGAAUACUCGCUGUUUGCGAUACACUGUAAGCGGCCAAGCGAAAGCGUUAAGUAUUCCACCUGGGGAGUACGCCGGCAACGGUGAAACUCAAAUGAAUUGACGGGG